rnacentral:misc_RNA from 1 species
GCAAACUUGGUCAUUUAGAGGAAGUAAAAGUCGUAACAAGGUUUCCGUAGGUGAACCUGCGGAAGGAUCAUUACGAAGGCGCCUCGCGCGCUCGGGCUUCGGCCCGCCACCUUUCCAAACACCUCUGCGUACUUAACUUUUGUUGCUUCCCGCCGCGCCUCGCGGCCGGCGGGGAGGUCCGCUCAAACUCCUUUUUGUAUUGGCAGUAGCUCAGUCGCGCCGGCUCAGUCCGCGCAAAGAUAUAAACAAGUCAAAACUUUCAACAACGGAUCUCUUGGUUCCCGCAUCGAUGAAGAACGCAGC